AGAGGAGGUUUGACUCUGGUGUUGUAAGUAUUGUCUGCAGAAAAUGUAAUUUUAAAUCCAACUGAAUCAGAAAAUUACAUUCGAAUGUGAAAUUUUGUUGGUUGAAAGCUGAUAAAGAUUGCAGAUAAAUAUCAGUUCUCUUAUAGCUGUAUUGUUUAUAUCUGAGUUAUGCACAUGAGAUCAUCUACCCGUUAUUAAUUGCUGUUUGAAGUGAAAUUCAACUGCUGGUGGAUAAUUGAACUAUAUAUGUGUUCCUAUACGUAUCUGUCAACUUCUGAUUUUCCUUUAUUUUAAAUGAAAUACUGCAAUUGUUGAGUUAUUUUUCAAUGGAAAUUGUGUGUCCAGGAAAAUCUAACAUAUUAAGCAUAAGAGUAUGGUGGCCUUGAAAUCAAAAUGAAUCUAACAACUAUCUCUAUGAUCUAAAGGUCUCUUACUGAUAUCAUCAGUGUGAUUUUAGCCCAAAUUAUCAUAUUCAUCACAUAUUUUUUAAUGUUGAGUUUCAGGCUUAUGUGACACAAGAAGACGUA
rnacentral:misc_RNA from 1 species